rnacentral:rRNA from 2 species
UGUUGCCUGCAAGGGCGUAUGGUGGAUGCCUUGGCAGACAGGACCGAUGAAGGACGUUUGAGGCUGCGAUAUGCCUCGGGGAGCCGCCAACAGGGCUUUGAUCCGAGGAUUUCCGAAUGGGGGAACCCACCGGCCGUCAUGGGCCGGUACCGCCGUGUGCGGGGGGUACGCAGGGAAGUGAAACAUCUCAGUACCUGCAGGAAAGGAUAUUCCGUGAGUAGUGGCGAGCGAAAGCGGAUCAGGCCAAACCUUGCGCGUGUGAUACCCGUCGGGGGUUGCGCGCGGGGUGUAGAGGGAUCGCGUUUGCCGGCUCCGACGGGCCGGCCGUCAGUUGCAUAAAACCAUGUGCCAGGGGAACCGGGUUGAAUACCGGGCCGCAGAGGGUGAGGGCCCCGUACCCGAACGCGCAUGGUCUGGCGAUCGCGUCUCCCAAGUAGCACGGGCCCCGUGGAAUCCCGUGCGAAUCUGUCCCGACCGUGGGAUAAGCCUAAAUAUUCCUGUCUGACCGAUAGCGAACGAGUACCGUGAGGGAAAGGUGAAAAGUACCCCGGGAGGGGAGUGAAACAGUCUCUGAAACCAUGCGCCUACGAACCGUCGGGGCCCUCUUGUGGGGUGACGGCGUGCCUAUCGAAAAAUGAGUCUGCGAGUCAGUGGCAUGUGGCGAGCAUAACCCGUGUGGGGUAUGCGUAGCGAAGGCGAGUCUUAAAAGGCGUUUGAGUCGCGUGUCCUGGACCCGAAGCGGGAUGAUCUAGCCCUGAGCAGGUUGAAGCGCGGGUAAGACCGUGUGGAGGACCGAACCCACCUGGGUUGAAAACCGGGGGGAUGACUUGGGGCUAGGGGUGAAAGGCCAAUCAAAUUCCGUGAUAGCUGGUUCUCUCCGAAAUGCAUUUAGGUGCAGCGUCGGAUCGAUUACAUCCGGGGGGUAGAGCGACUGGAUGCUUGCGGGCCCAUAUCGGGUACCAACAGCAACCAAACUCCGAAUACCCGUGAUGCGUAUCCCGGCAGUGAGUCGGCGGGGGAUAAGCUCCGUCGUCGAAAGGGAAACAGCCCAGAUCGUCGUCUAAGGUCCCCAAGCGUGUGCUAAGUGGGAAAGGAUGUGGAGUCGCAUAGACAGCCAGGAGGUUGGCUCAGAAGCAGCCACCCUUGAAAGAGUGCGUAACAGCUCACUGGUCUAGUGGUUCCGCGCCGACAAUGUAGCGGGGCUCAAGCACACCACCGAAGACGCGGCAGUAGCUUUGCUACUGGGUAGGAGAGCGUCCCAUGCGGGGCGAAGCGGCGGCGCAAGCCCGCCGUGGACCGCAUGGGAGUGAGAAUGCAGACAUGAGUAGCGAAAGACGGGUGAAGAUCCCGUCCGCUGGACGACCAAGGGUUCCAGGGCCACGUUCAUCGUCCCUGGGUGAGUCGGGUCCUAAGGCGAGGCCGACAGGCGUAGUCGAAUGGACGAACGGGUCGAUAUUCCCGUACCGGCAUGCAACCGGCAAAACCGAAUCCGCGAGUACUAACUUCCGGGUCCGGGCUCACGUCUCCUUCGGGAGCCGGAUGCCCUGGCCUGUUGGGACCGUAACGGUAGUAGGUCAGCGCGGGAGUGACGCAGAAGGGUAGCCGGCCGCGGAGGUGGUCUUCCGUGGUCAAGCACGCAGCCCGUCCCACAGGCAAAUCCGUGGGGCGCGUGGGCGAGGUGCGAUGAUGGGCGCCGCAGGGCGCGAUAUCCGGUGAUCCCGGCUGCCGAGAAAAGCUUCGGCGUGAGGCGGCAUGCCGCCCGUACCCCAAACCGACACUGGUGGUCAGGUAGAGAAUACCAAAGCGAUCGAGCGAAUCCUGGUCAAGGAACUCGGCAAAUCACUCCCGUUCCUUCGGUUUAAGGGAGACCCCCGAUGGUGAAGCGGCUUGCCCGCGGAGCUUUUGGGGGUGGCACAGACCAGGGGGUAGCGACUGUUUACCAAAAACACAGGAGCGUGCGAAGGCGCAAGCCGCUGUAUACGCUCUGACGCCUGCCCGGUGCCGGAAGGUUAAGAGGAUCCGUCAGGCCUCGGCCGAAGCGGUGAAUUCAAGCCCCGGUAAACGGCGGUGGUAACUAUAACCAUCCUAAGGUAGCGAAAUUCCUUGUCGGGUAAGUUCCGACCUGCACGAAUGGCGUAACGACUUCCCCACUGUCUCGACCAGGAGCUCGGCGAAAUUGCAGUACGAGUAAAGAUGCUCGUUAAGCGCAGAAGGACGAAAAGACCCCGGGACCUUUACUAUACCUUGGUAUUGGCAUUCGGUGUGGAUUGUGUAGCAUAGGCGGAAGGCUUCGAAGCCACGGCGCCAGCCGCGGUGGAGCCGCAAGGUGAAAUACCGCUCUGUUCGCAUUGGAUGUCUAACCUCGACCAGUCAUCCUGGUCAGGGACAGUGCCUGGCGGGUAGUUUAACUGGGGCGGUUGCCUCCCAAAGAGUAACGGAGGCGCUCAAAGGUUCCCUCAGCCCGGUUGGCAAUCGGGUGGCGAGUGUAAGUGCACAAGGGAGCUUGACUGCGAGACUGACGGGUCGAGCAGGGACGAAAGUCGGAACUAGUGAUCCGGUGCCGGUGUACGGACGCGGCAUCGCUCAACGGAUAAAAGGUACCCCGGGGAUAACAGGCUGAUCAUUCCCAAGAGUCCAUAUCGACGGGAUGGUUUGGCACCUCGAUGUCGGCUCGUCGCAUCCUGGGGCUGGAGCAGGUCCCAAGGGUUCGGCUGUUCGCCGAUUAAAGCGGCACGCGAGCUGGGUUCAGAACGUCGUGAGACAGUUUGGUCUCUAUCCUCUGCGCUCGUCGGAAUGUUGAGGAGGCCUGCCCAUAGUACGAGAGGACCUGGGUGGACGAACCUCUGGUAUGCCGGUUGUCACGCCAGUGGCACGGCCGGUUGGCUACGUUCGGAAGGGAUAACCGCUGAAAGCAUCUAAGCGGGAAGCCUGCUCCAAGAUAAGCAUUCCAUAGGACUACGGGUCCUUGAAGUCCCCAUGCAGAACACGUGGUUGAUAGGCCGGACGUGGAAGCCCCGCGAGGGGUGGAGCCGACCGGUACUAACGGACGAAAGGCAACACAAU